rnacentral:rRNA from 1 species
GACGAACGCUGGCGGCGUGCCUAACACAUGCAAGUCGAACGCUGAAGCUCAGCUUUUGUUGGGUGGAUGAGUGGCGAACGGGUGAGUAACACGUGAGUAGCCUGCCCCCUUCUUUGGGAUAACGCCCGGAAACGGGUGCUAAUACUGGAUAUUCACUGGUCUUCGCAUGGGGGUUGGUGGAAAGGGUUUUUCUGGUGGGGGAUGGGCUCGCGGCCUAUCAGCUUGUUGGUGGGGUGAUGGCCUACCAAGGCUUUGACGGGUAGCCGGCCUGAGAGGGUGACCGGUCACAUUGGGACUGAGAUACGGCCCAGACUCCUACGGGAGGCAGCAGUGGGGAAUAUUGCACAAUGGGCGCAAGCCUGAUGCAGCGACGCCGCGUGAGGGAUGGAGGCCUUCGGGUUGUGAACCUCUUUCGCUCAUGGUCAAGCCGCAACAAUGGUUGUGGUGAGGGUAGUGGGUAAAGAAGCGCCGGCUAACUACGUG